rnacentral:rRNA from 1 species
AAAAACAUGUCCUUUUGAGUAUUUAUAUAAGGUCUAGCCUGCCCAAUGAUAUUUAUUUAAUGGCCGCAGUAUAUUAACUGUGCUAAGGUAGCAUAAUCAAUUGUCUUUUAAUUGAAGGCUGGUAUGAAGGGUUGGAUGAAAUAUUGACUUUUUUCUUAUUAAUUCUUGAAUUUAAUUUAUCGAUUAAAAAGUUGAUAUAAAAUUAAGGGACGAGAAGACCCUAUAGAUCUUUAUAAUUAAAUUUUAUUAUUUUAUUUUGGUUUAUUUUUUAAAGAUAAUGAUUUUAUUUAUUUAAUUGGGGUGAUUUUAGAAUUUUAAUAACUUCUAUUAUAAUAUUCAUUAAUCAAUGUUUAAUUGAUCCUAUAUUUAGAUUAAAAAAUUAAGUUACCUUAGGGAUAACAGCGUAAUUUUUUCAGAGAGUUCAUAUUAAUGAAAAAGUUUGCGACCUCGAUGUUGGAUUAAAAUAAGUUUUGGGCGCAAAAGUUCAUUAACUAGGUCUGUUCGACCUUUAAAAUUUUACAUGAUCUG